rnacentral:rRNA from 1 species
UAAGCGUGUAGGUGUGUGUUCCAGGUAAAUCCGGUUCACUUUAACACUGAGGCGUGACGACGAGGCACUACGGUGCUGAAGCAACAAAUGCCCUGCUUCCAGGAAAAGCCUCUAAGCAUCAGGUAACAUCAAAUCGUACCCCAAACCGACACAGGUGGUCAGGUAGAGAAUACCAAGGCGCUUGAGAGAACUCGGGUGAAGGAACUAGGCAAAAUGGUGCCGUAACUUCGGGAGAAGGCACGCUGACACGUAGGUGAAGUGAUUUACUCAUGGAGCUGAAGUCAGUCGAAGAUACCAGCUGGCUGCAACUGUUUAUUAAAAACACAGCACUGUGCAAACACGAAAGUGGACGUAUACGGUGUGACGCCUGCCCGGUGCCGGAAGGUUAAUUGAUGGGGUCAGCGCAAGCGAAGCUCCUGAUCGAAGCCCCGGUAAACGGCGGCCGUAACUAUAACGGUCCUAAGGUAGCGAAAUUCCUUGUCGGGUAAGUUCCGACCUGCACGAAUGGCGUAAUGAUGGCCAGGCUGUCUCCACCCGAGACUCAGUGAAAUUGAACUCGCUGUGAAGAUGCAGUGUACCCGCGGCAAGACGGAAAGACCCCGUGAACCUUUACUAUAGCUUGACACUGAACAUUGAGCCUUGAUGUGUAGGAUAGGUGGGAGGCUUUGAAGUGUGGACGCCAGUCUGCAUGGAGCCGACCUUGAAAUACCACCCUUUAAUGUUUGAUGUUCUAACGUGGACCCGUUACCCGGGUUGCGGACAGUGUCUGGUGGGUAGUUUGACUGGGGCGGUCUCCUCCUAAAGAGUAACGGAGGAGCACGAAGGUUGGCUAAUCCUGGUCGGACAUCAGGAGGUUAGUGCAAUGGCAUAAGCCAGCUUGACUGCGAGCGUGACGGCGCGAGCAGGUGCGAAAGCAGGUCAUAGUGAUCCGGUGGUUCUGAAUGGAAGGGCCAUCGCUCAACGGAUAAAAGGUACUCCGGGGAUAACAGGCUGAUACCGCCCAAGAGUUCAUAUCGACGGCGGUGUUUGGCACCUCGAUGUCGGCUCAUCACAUCCUGGGGCUGAAGUAGGUCCCAAGGGUAUGGCUGUUCGCCAUUUAAAGUGGUACGCGAGCUGGGUUUAGAACGUCGUGAGACAGUUCGGUCCCUAUCUGCCGUGGGCGCUGGAGAACUGAGGGGGGCUGCUCCUAGUACGAGAGGACCGGAGUGGACGCAUCACUGGUGUUCGGGUUGUCAUGCCAAUGGCACUGCCCGGUAGCUAAAUGCGGAAGAGAUAAGUGCUGAAAGCAUCUAAGCACGAAACUUGCCCCGAGAUGAGUUCUCCCUGAGACUUAAAGUCUCCUGAAGGAACGUUGAAGACGACGACGUUGAUAGGCCGGGUGUGUAAGCGCAGCGAUGCGUUGAGCUAACCGGUACUAAUGAACCGUGAGGCUUAACCUUACAACGCCGAAG